UACGGAAGGCAGCAGUGGGGAAUAUUGCACAAUGGGCGCAAGCCUGAUGCAGCCAUGCCGCGUGUAUGAAGAAGGCCUUCGGGUUGUAAAGUACUUUCAGUCGUGAGGAAGGUGUUAAGGUUAAUAACCUUAGCAAUUGACGUUAGCGACAGAAGAAGCACCGGCUAACUCCGUGCCAGCAGCCGCGGUAAUACGGAGGGUGCGAGCGUUAAUCGGAAUUACUGGGCUAAAGGGCACGCAGGCGGUUAAUUAAGUUGGAUGUGAAAUCCCCGGGCUUAACCUGGGAAUGGCAUUCAAGACUGGUUAGCUAGAGUCUUGUAGAGGGGGUAGAAUUCCAUGUGUAGCGGUGAAAUGCGUAGAGAUGUGGAGGAAUACCGGUGGCGAAGGCGGCCCCUGGGACAAAGACUGACGCUCAUGUGCGAAAGCGUGGGGAGCAAACAGGGAUUAGAUACC
rnacentral:rRNA from 1 species